rnacentral:rRNA from 1 species
AACGAACGCUGGCGGCAGGCCUAACACAUGCAAGUCGAACGCCCCGCAAGGGGAGUGGCAGACGGGUGAGUAACGCGUGGGAACGUGCCCUUCGCUUCGGAAUAGCCCCGGGAAACUGGGAGUAAUACCGAAUACGCCGUAUUGGGAAAGAUUUAUCGGCGAAGGAUCGGCCCGCGUUAGAUUAGCUAGUUGGCGGUGUAAUGGACCACCAAGGCUACGAUCUAUAGCUGGUCUGAGAGGAUGAUCAGCCACACUGGGACUGAGACACGGCCCAGACUCCUACGGGAGGCAGCAGUGGGGAAUCUUGGACAAUGGGCGCAAGCCUGAUCCAGCCAUGCCGCGUGAGUGAAGAAGGCCUUAGGGUUGUAAAACUCUUUCGCCGGAGAAGAUAAUGACGGUAUCCGGAGAAGAAACCCCGGCUAACUUCGUGCCAGCCGCCGCUGUAAAAC